UAUAAACGAAGUUUCAUUUGUUUUCAAAUGCAAAUUUCAUUGUCCAUCUUUUAUUACCAACAACUAUUUAGGAAAAAAACGAUACAAGAAGCAAAAUUUAAAUUAAAUGUAUAACCAAAACAAGCAAGCUAAUGAAAGUUUUUCUCUUGCAUAUUUCUAACUGAAAAACCUUAAACCGCUGAAACAUCCAAGAAGUCUUCUUGGCUGAUAGCCACGAGUACGAAACUUUGCAGCUGUCUCCUCUACCUUGAGGAUUUCUUCCCCUUUUUGAGCUUCUAUCAUUGCCUUUUUCUCUUCUGCUGAUUUAUGAAUUUCACCUAUUUUGUUUUGCAUUACUUCAACAUAUUCACUCUUCUUUCUGUCCAAUUUUACCUGUGAUUAAUUUAUACAAACUUUCAUUUAAAAUUUGGUUCAUAUAACUAUUAUUGAAAGAAGAAAAAAUCAAUCAAAUUGAUGCAAAAAUUGAGCACAUCUGACCUCAAUUCCUUUGAAUUUUGCUUCAAUUGAUGCUUUCUUAUCAUCCUCCCACAAAUCAACAGCAGAUUGCAUCUUAUAUGCCCUAAUUGACAUUAAUUAUCAUAAGAAUAAGAAGAUAUCAUUCACCUAGUCAUUAUAGAAAAUUGAAUUGGAUAUUAUUAAAUUAAUGUCUAAUAUUGAUAUUCGAAAGCUUUUAUAUCUUCCUUUUCUAGCACCUUACCUAUUCUCUACUUUUGUCUUCUCAUUUUCUUCCCAUGCUUUAAUUAAAGCCAAUCUUUUCUGCGAUUCAACCCUUGCUAGUACAGCAUCUAAAGGAACUAAAAAUUGAGUUAAUCAUCUCUCAAAACAAUUUAAAUGAUUAAAUAUAAAAGGGUUAAUAGGUAUUUACCCUUGUAAUAUAGGUCAUUUUUGGUUUUCCCCUAUAAAAUUUUUAUUUUUAUUCACCCUGUAAAAUAUUUUUAUUUUGAUAUACCACCUUAAUAGGCUAAACAAAAACGAAAAUUUCUUGAAAAAAAAAUAAAAUUGGUUUUUGUUUGGCCUAUCAGGGGUAAAUCAAAACAAAAUUAUUUUACACGGGUGAAUAAAAAUAAAAAUUUUACAGGAAGGAAAACCAAAAAUGACAUAUAUUACAGAGUAUAAAUAUCUAUUAACCCAAUAUAAAAAAUAAUAAAAAGGGAAAAUAACCUCGGUCAACUGAGUCCUUUGUAUCUGUUCCAGCAGCAGUAGCUGCAAAACAUCAAUAAGGAACAUUGGUAACAAAAAAAACAAGAACACAUGACGGGUUGAAUUAAUAUAUAAGUUUAGCUUGUCCCCAUAAUUUUACUAAAUUUUCUAUAUCUUGCUGAUUUUGUGUUUAAUGAAUUACAUACUUAAUUUUGUUUCUGAAAAAAGAUAUAUAGUACCAUGAAAAGAAACUUGUGCAGUUCAUCCAAAUAUGAUCCAUAUAAUUUUUUGCAUUGAUAAAUAAUUAAAGUUCAAAGAUUCAAAGGUUCUUCCACUUUAUAGAGAGAAUUAAAUAUACGCAUGAAACGUUCGGUAAAAAAAAAUGCAUGAAACGGACGUCUUUAGAAAUAAUAAUUAGAUUUCUCUCAAAAAAAAAGAAAUAAUAAUUAGACAAAUCCUAAGUAUCAAGUAAAAUAAUAAAAGCAAACCAAUGCUUUAAACAAAAUACACCAAAAUAAAUUCAUACAUCUUACACAAUCAGUCUAAUAACUAAGUAAAAUCUUUAUCAACUUGAAAGGAGAAAAAGAAAAAAAAAAACUUUCCCAUCCGAAAAAGUGGAAUUUGAUACACAACUCUACAAAAUAAUUAGCAAGAUUAUUUAGGAUUGUUUUUGUCAAUUUCAUAGGCUAAUCUGACAUCAUCAUACAACUUCAUGAAUCAAAAUAAGGUUUCACUCCAUAAAAAUGUAUAUUUUGGGGUUUUUCUUAGAGGACAUGUAUAUAUUGGGUUGAAAUUUUGCUUUGCUUUAUCUUAAAUUAAAUAGUAAAGAUAAAUGUUCUUAUAUUAAUAUAUUUAACAACCAAUGCGAUCGAUAAGACGAAAAUUGGAUUAAUUGAAAAUUAGAGAAAUAUAGAUAUUUUUUAGAUAUCAACUAACUAGAAAGAAAGAAAUAAAAUGAAUAUGGUAAAAAUGGCGAUCAACGGUCAAUAUUUAGAAGCAAAUUAAGCAAAAGGAUGAAUAAGGAUAUGAAUAUGAUGAAUGCAAUUAUGAGAUUCAACUAUUGUCAUUUUGAUUUUGUCAUUUAAAAAAAAAAAACGUAUAUGAUGAAUGUAAUUGUUGUGAUAUGUGUAAUACAUACUUUGAUCAACUGAAGAAGUAGCAUGAUCACUCACGACACGCUCUUGUUUAACAACACUGCUUGAAGUUCCUUCGUUCCCCGGUUCCUUUUCUUCAAGGAAGUAGGAAAACUCUCGAGGUUCAGAUUCAGAUUGAGGUAGUGGAGUUAGGGUGUCAACUAACUCUAAUUGUUUGUUUUUCGAUUCUUCCAUAAUGUAUUUCUAGGGUUACAGCAUUAGAAUUUCUAUUAAACUUAGAAUAUGUUUGUGAUCACACUUAAAUAGAGAUGAAAUU
rnacentral:lncRNA from 1 species